GCGGUGAAAGUUUGAGGCUCAACCUUAAAAUUGCCGUUGAAACUGUUUUUCUUGAGUAUAUUUGAAGUAGGCGGAAUUCGUGGUGUAGCGGUGAAAUGCAUAGAUAUYACGAAGAACUCCAAUUGCGAAGGCAGCUUACUAAACUAUAACUGACGCUGAAGCACGAAAGCGUGGGUAUSAAACAGGAUUAGAUACCCUGGUAGUCCACGCCGUAAACGAUGAUUACUAGCUGUUUGUGAUAUUACAAUAAGCGGCUAAGCGAAAGCGAUAAGUAAUCCACCUGGGGAGUACGCCGGCAA
rnacentral:rRNA from 1 species